rnacentral:lncRNA from 1 species
GUCAUAGCCUUAUGGGGGCGUACAUCAACCUAUAACCAAAGUGACAUGGUCCUACAACCUAUACCCAAGCAAAGAAGUUUUGAGUAUUGGAAUGGGGAAUGUACGAGGAGAGAACAAACACGAAAGUUACUCAUACAUAGUAUGUUUGUCAUUUACCCCUGACAAAGAAACUGUAAGUUUAAAUAGGUCUACAAAGUCAAAUACUUGGUUGAUGAUACAGUUAAAAGAUAUUGUGCUCAAUUAGUAGCCAAAGGCUUUACACAAAAAAAAGUCCUAGACUGCAUCAAUACUUAUUUACCAACGAUAAAAAUAGGGCAAAUCUCCAAAAUAGCACAUUUCUAAGUUUAUGUCAAUAAAAUAGCUCUCAAAAACUAAAAUGACUAAAAUAGCAUUUUAUCUUUUGAAAAUUUAAUUUUUUUUUAUUUUUCAAAAUUUGAAAUCUUAUCCCAAAACCUCACUCCCCAACUCUAAACCCUAAACUCUAAACCCUAAACCCUAAAUCCUAAACUCUAAACCCUAAACCCCACCCCUAAACUCUAAACUCUAAACUCUAAACCCUAAACCCUAAACCCUAAAUCCUAAACCCCACCCCUUAACUC